rfam:Phaeodactylum tricornutum CCAP 1055/1 chromosome 6, whole genome shotgun sequence.
AAACCGGAUUUUAUCAAAUCCACCCAUACGUCAAAGAAGCUCGCA